rnacentral:rRNA from 1 species
UACGUAGGGUGCGAGCGUUGUCCGGAAUUAUUGGGCGUAAAGAGCUUGUAGGGGGUUUGUCGCGUCUGCUGUGAAAAUCCGAGGCUCAACCUCGGACUUGCAGUGGGUACGGGCAGACUAGAGUGUGGUAGGGGAGACUGGAAUUCCUGGUGUAGCGGUGGAAUGCGCAGAUAUCAGGAGGAACACCGAUGGCGAAGGCAGGUCUCUGGGCCGAUACUGACGCUGAGGAGCGAAAGCGUGGGGAGCGAACAGG